GCGUUGAUGGUUUAGUGGUAAAAUUGGCCGUUGCCACCUUGAUCUAGAAUAAGAAGGAGCGCAGUUCCUUCCUGAACAGGAUAAUAUCGGCCAGCCCCGGGUUCGAUUCCCGGUCGACGCA
rnacentral:tRNA from 1 species